rnacentral:rRNA from 1 species
AUUGAACGCUGGCGGCAGGCCUAACACAUGCAAGUCGAACGGUAACAGGAAGAAGCUUGCUUCUUUGCUGACGAGUGGCGGACGGGUGAGUAAUGUCUGGGAAACUGCCUGAUGGAGGGGGAUAACUACUGGAAACGGUAGCUAAUACCGCAUAACGUCGCAAGACCAAAAAGGGGGACCUUCGGGCCUCUUGCCCUCGGAUGUGCCCAGAUGGGAUUAGCUAGUAGGUGGGGUAACGGCUCACCUAGGCGACGAUCCCUAGCUGGUCUGAGAGGAUGACCAGCCUCACUGGAACUGAGACACGGUCCAGACUCCUACGGGAGGCAGCAGUGGGGAAUAUUGCACAAUGGGCGCAAGCCUGAUGCAGCCAUGCCGCGUGUAUGAAGAAGGCCUUCGGGUUGUAAAGUACUUUCAGCGGGGAGGAAGGGAGUAAAGUUAAUACCUUUGCUCAUUGACGUUACCCGCAGAAGAAGCACCGGCUAACUCCGUG